rnacentral:rRNA from 1 species
UACGUAGGGCGCAAGCGUUGUCCGGAAUUAUUGGGCGUAAAGAGCUCGUAGGCGGUCUGUCGCGUCGGAUGUGAAAGCCCGGGGCUUAACCCCGGGUCUGCAUUCGAUACGGGCAGGCUAGAGUUCGGUAGGGGAGAUCGGAAUUCCUGGUGUAGCGGUGAAAUGCGCAGAUAUCAGGAGGAACACCGGUGGCGAAGGCGGAUCUCUGGGCCGAUACUGACGCUGAGGAGCGAAAGCGUGGGGAGCGAACAGG